rnacentral:snRNA from 1 species
AUACUUACCUGGCAGGGGAGAGGCCACGAUCACAAAGGUGGUUUUCCCAGGGUGAGGCUCGUCCAUUGCGCUCCGGAUGUGCUGCAAUUUCCCCAAAUGGGGGAAACUCGACUGGUGGUGGGGACUGCGUUCUCUCUCUCCAA